rnacentral:rRNA from 1 species
GUGCCAGCCGCCGCGGUAAUACCGGCAGCCCAAGUGAUGGCCGCUGUUAUUGGGCCUAAAGCGUCCGUAGCUGGCCGCACAAGUCCGUCGAGAAAUCCGCCCGCUCAACGGGCGGCCGUCCGGCGGAACCUGUGUGGCUUGGGACCGGGAGGCUCGAAGGGUACGUUCGGGGUAGGAGUGAAAUCCCAUAAUCCCGCACGGACCACCGAUGGUGAAAGCACUUCGAGAAAACGGAUCCGACAGUGAGGGACGAAAGCCAGGGUCUCCAACCGGAUUAGAAACCCUAGUAGUCC